GGACGGGUGCCAGAGUGGUUGAUUGGGCACGCCUGGAAAGCGUGUUUGCCGCAAGGCAACGAGGGUUCGAAUCCCUCCCCGUCCGCCA
rnacentral:tRNA from 1 species